GACGAACGCUGGCGGCGUGCUUAACACAUGCAAGUCGAACGGAAAGGCCCUGCUUUUGUGGGGUGCUCGAGUGGCGAACGGGUGAGUAACACGUGAGUAACCUGCCCUUGACUUUGGGAUAACUUCAGGAAACUGGGGCUAAUACCGGAUAGGAGCUCCUGCUGCAUGGUGGGGGUUGGAAAGUUUCUGCGGUUGGGGAUGGACUCGCGGCUUAUCAGCUUGUUGGUGGGGUAGUGGCUUACCCAGGCUUUGACGGGUAGCCGGCCUGAGAGGGUGACCGGGCACAUUGGGACUGAGAUACGGCCCAGACUCCUACGGGGGGCAGCAGUGGGGAAUGUUGCACAAUGGGCGGAAGCGUGAUGCAGCAACGCCGGGUGCGGGAUGACGGCCUUCGGGGUGUAAACCGCUUUCGCCUGUGACGAAGCGGGGAUGACGGUAAUGGGUGAAGAAGCACCGGCUAACUACGUG
rnacentral:rRNA from 1 species